UGGGGAAUAUUGGACAAUGGGCGAAAGCCUGAUCCGGCCAUGCCGCGUGUGUGAAGAAGGUCUUCGGAUUGUAAAGCACUUUAAGUUGGGAGGAAGGGCAGUAAAUUAAUACUUUGCUGUUUUGACGUUACCGACAGAAUAAGCACCGGCUAACUCUGUGCCAGCAGCCGCGGUAAUACAGAGGGUGCAAGCGUUAAUCGGAAUUACUGGGCGUAAAGCGCGCGUAGGUGGUUCGUUAAGUUGGAUGUGAAAUCCCCGGGCUCAACCUGGGAACUGCAUUCAAAACUGACGAGCUAGAGUAUGGUAGAGGGUGGUGGAAUUUCCUGUGUAGCGGUGAAAUGCGUAGAUAUAGGAAGGAACACCAGUGGCGAAGGCGACCACCUGGACUGAUACUGACGCUGAGGUGCGAAAGCGUGGGGGAGCAAACAGGAUUAGAUACCCU
rnacentral:rRNA from 1 species